rnacentral:tRNA from 1 species
GUUAGUCUAGUUUAAUAAGAAUACUAAGUUGUGGUCUUAGUGGUGGGGUAUAAACUCCGACUGACU